rnacentral:rRNA from 1 species
UACGUAGGGGGCAAGCGUUGUCCGGAAUUAUUGGGCGUAAAGAGCGCGUAGGCGGUCCGAUAAGUCGGCUGUGAAAGUCAAGGGCUCAACCCUUGAAAGCCGGCCGAUACUGUCGGACUAGAGUCCGGAAGAGGCGAGUGGAAUUCCCGGUGCAGCGGUGAAAUGCGCAGAUAUCGGGAGGAACACCAAUGGCGAAGGCAGCUCGCUGGGACGGUACUGACGCUGAGGAGCGAAAGCGUGGGGAGCGAACAGG